GGGUCGUUAGCUCAGUUGGUAGAGCAGUUGACUUUUAAUCAAUUGGUCGCAGGUUCGAAUCCUGAACGACCCACCA
rnacentral:tRNA from 1 species